AUAGAGCUGGAAUCUGUUCCCGGGGAAAUCUGACUUCCUAACUCAUGCUCCCUCCACUUCCCCAGAGGAGGUGAAUAUGAACCAUAACACAGUUACAGCUAACGUGGUAAUUAGCAACACUUAGUAUCUAUAAUAGUCUAAGACCAUCGCAGGUGUCAUCAUGUUUAAGCCUAAAACUUCAGCCCAACGAGCUAAACUCUGUUGUUAUGCUCACUUUAUAAAUGAGGGCAUUAAGAAUUUAAGGGCUAGCCUAAGAUGAUACAGGUAGUAAGUAGCAGAUCACAACCUUAACUCAGGCAAUCGGACUCUUAAACUUGCUCUCCAAGGAAAAACAUCUUUCUUCAAAGACCCCUAAGGGCCCUCUGAGAGGUUAUGGAGCAAGUCUCCAUUUCUAGGAAAGUGUGUUGUUCUUGUAGAUCCUUGACUCAAAUACAAGUAACUCCUACUGGCCAUUUCUGCAUAACUUCCUGCUCCUUUUCAAACUCAACAGGUUCAAAGUCAAAAUCUCCUCCCAACAAAAUCUCUACCUCCAAAUUCCUAAACUUGAUUAUGCCGAUAGUAAACCGGCGUUGUUUGAUUUAUUUGUGUGCCAGAUGCAGAGCUCACUGUCUGGCCGAGGCAGGUACUCAGAUCUUCACUAAAUAGAUGAAUCUGCAAUGUUGUUGAGUGUGAAUCUUAGCUUUGGUUGGAGUCCAAAGCUAAGAAUCAGACUCGGUAACACUGUUCUCACCUGGACUUCAAGUUUUCUUACCACUCUUCUCACCUUUGGUUGUGCUUCCUUUCCAACCCUUUCAUCCCUGUGCAGCCUGAUAGUAUUAGGAAGGAAAACCGGCUUCUACUUUCGCAGUUUAUAAUUUGUCAGUGACCUCCCAUGGUCUUAAGGAUAAAAUGCAGACAGGACCUAGUGCUUGAGCCUUUUCAGAUCCAGCCACUACGUAAUUUUCUGGUCUCUUCUCUUGACAUCAGCCCCUGUUAAAGUCAUAAAAACUUACUUUCAAUUCUCAGAAAGCACCUUACUCUUCUGUUCCCUCUUCUUCCAUCCAUGUGCCUAGAUCUAUCCAUUAUGUGCUUAAAUGUAGGCUCCUCCAAGAAGUCUCCCAUGAUCUGAUUCUGAGUUCCUACUGUCAUCUUGGAGAAACCCAGUCACAGCUUUUGUUGUAUGGCAUUGCCUGUGGACUUUGCUGUCCCCUCUUCACCUCCCCCCCACCGCCCCACUGCACCAAGACUGUAAUAUCUUGGAGAACAAAGACAAUUUUGUUCACUGCUACAUCCUGAGAGCCUAGCAUCGUGCCCAAGAUGUGGUGGGACUUCCAUAAAUAUGUGUUGAAUGGUUGAGAUCUUAAUUUCUGUUAGAACGGUCUCCUGAGAAUGACCUCCUACCCGUUGCCUCAGUAACCUCUUACGCAUGGAGAGCAGAGCUGCAGGAAAGCAGGACACACGUGAGUCCAGCCAACUCAGAGCUUCAAGGAGGCGUCCAGGAGAAACCUCCCUCAGCCCCGUUUGCGGUGCCUCCUGGUCGGUAAUUUUCCAGAAGCAAUUUCUUGUUUCCUCCAAAUGGCCUGUAGAGGUCAGAAAAGGGCCUUGUUUUCCAAUCACCGACUGUCCUGUCUACAUUAGCAUUCACCCCGGGUGUCUAUAAUUAAGCAAGCCUAAGCUGGGCACAUAGGAACGGAAAUGCAUUGACUUUAAUAAAACAGAGUGUAAAACAACUUU
rnacentral:lncRNA from 10 species